rnacentral:rRNA from 1 species
GACGAACGCUGGCGGCGUGCCUAAUACAUGCAAGUCGAACGCACAGUUUAUACUGUCGCUUGCUUCACCAUAAACUGUGAGUUGCGAACGGUUGAGUAACUCGUCUGUAACCUGCCUGGUAGCUGGGGAUAACUAUUUAAUACCAUAGCUAAUACCGCAUAAUAUUAAUUAUUGCAUGAUAUUUGAUUUAUAGAUGCAAUUGCAUCACUAUCAGCUGGAUCUUCGUUGUAUUAGCUAGUAGGUCAGGUAACGGCUCACCUAGGCGACGAUACAUAGACGAACUGAGAGGGUGAUAGGCGACACUGGGACGGAGACACGGACCAGACGACUGAGGGAGGGAGCAGAAGGGAAGCGUAGGCAAUGGACGAGAGUCUGACAGAGCAACGCCGCGUGAGUGAAGAAGGCGUUCGGAUCGUAAAGCUCGGUUGUAAGAGAAGAACGGGUGUGAGAGUGGAAAGUGCACACUGUGACGGUAUCUUAACAGAAAGGGACGGCUAACUACGUG